AGCGAACGCUGGCGGCAGGCUUAACACAUGCAAGUCGAGCGGGCACUUUCGGGUGUCAGCGGCGGACGGGUGCGUAACGCGUGGGAACGUGCCCUCUGGUUCGGAAUAACUCAGGGAAACUUGAGCUAAUACCGGAUACGCCCUUUUGGGGAAAGGCUUGCUGCCGGAGGAUCGGCCCGCGUCUGAUUAGCUAGUUGGUGAGGUAACGGCUCACCAAGGCGACGAUCAGUAGCUGGUCUGAGAGGAUGAUCAGCCACACUGGGACUGAGACGCGGCCCAGACUCCUACGGGAGGCAGCAGUGGGUAAUAUUGGACAAUGGGCGCAAGCCUGAUUCAGCCCUGCCGCGUGAGUGAUGAAGGCCUUAGGGUUGUAAAGCUCUUUUAUCCGGGACGAUAAUGACGGUACCGGAAGAAUAAGCCCCGGCUAACUUCGUG
rnacentral:rRNA from 1 species